AUAGUGGCGGAGGCAAACAAACCCUAGUUGCCUUCAAUCUAAUCUGUAACAGGCUAACAGCCAAAACGUGUGAGAGAGGGAGAGAUGCGCGGAGGCAGAGAGACCAUCAGGGCCGGGGCCGCAUCGUCGGUCGCCGUUCACGGCUGGAGCCUCCAUCACCGCUCGCCGUCACGGCCGGAGGUCUCCCACUGCCGCACCGGACUUCGUCGCCGGCAUCGCUAACGAGGAUAGAUCGCGAGCCUCCGCCGCACUCUGCUGGAGCGCGAUCUGUCGGAGUUCCACGUCGCGGUCCUUCUGCCGGAGCACCGCGUUUUUACCGAGGUCGGAACGUCGAUCGCACAGAUCAGCUGUCGCACCGGCCUAUUCGCGAAAUCGCAGCCACCAUCACCAGACGGAGCCGACCGCAACCCCAAUCCGCGCCGUCCUCUUCGCGACUGUCGCGACCAGCGAGAGUGCUGCCGCUAGGAUGCCAUCGCCGAUCACAAAAUAGAUCUAGAUAGAACAUAGAUUGAUCGCUCAGAAUCGUUGCCGCUGGACGCGACUUUACCUCUGGGCUGAGCCGCCUGCCGGAUCCACGAUGCGAACCCUCGUGGGAAAGAAGGAACCGGCCACCAACAAUGGAUUUGGCUAAGAAAAACUAUGGUGGCAGAUCGGUCAAAGGGAAGCGAACGGCUCUGCGGCGCUGCGAUUUACACAAAGCAAACGGAGACAACGAGGACGUCGCCGCUACCUCCCUCACGCCGGAGCACAGUCACGAGUCAAGUCAAUAUCAGGUUGACUACAUAUGGUUUGCCUAAAGCAGGUUAUUUUUCUAAAAAUAUUCAUAUAGUUUGAAUACAUAUUUAUAUACAAAAUGUAUUCAGAAUGAUAUACAAAGUACAAACGGCAACCGUGUACACAAAUAUUGCAUAUCACUCAAGGAAA